UACAGAGGGUGCAAGCGUUGUUCGGAAUUAUUGGGCGUAAAGAGCUCGUAGGCGGUCAGUCGCGUCUGCUGUGAAAACUCGGGGCUUAACUCCGGGCCUGCAGUGGGUACGGGCUGACUAGAGUGCGGUAGGGGAGACUGGAAUUCCUGGUGUAGCGGUGAAAUGCGCAGAUAUCAGGAGGAACACCGGUGGCGAAGGCGGGUCUCUGGGCCGUAACUGACGCUGAGGAGCGAAAGCGUGGGGAGCGAACAGG
rnacentral:rRNA from 1 species